rnacentral:rRNA from 1 species
GACGUAGGGAGCGAGCGUUGUCCGGAUUCAUUGGGCGUAAAGAGCGCGCAGGCGGUUUGGUAAGUCGGAUGUGAAAACCCGGGGCUCAACCCCGGGCGUGCAUCUCGAUACUGCCCGACUAGAGGUAGGUAGGGGAGAUCGGAAUUCCUGGUGGUAGCGGUGAAAUGCGCAGAGUAUCAGGAGGAACACCGGUGGCGAAGGCGGGAUCUCUGGGCCUUAACCUGACGCUCGAGGCGCGAAAGCUAGGGGAGCGA